rnacentral:rRNA from 1 species
AUUGAACGCUGGCGGCAGGCCUAACACAUGCAAGUCGAACGAGUGGCGGACGGGUGAGUAAUGUCUGGGAAACUGCCUGAUGGCGGGGGAUAACUACUGGAAACGGUAGCUAAUACCGCAUACCAUCGGAUGUUCCCAGAUGGGCUUAGCUAGUAGGUGGGGUAAAGGCUCACCUAGGCGACGAUCCCUAGCUGGUCUGAGAGGGUGCCCAGCCACACUGGAACGGAGACACGGUCCAGACUCCUACGGGAGGCAGCAGUGGGGAAUAUUGCACAAUGGGCGCAAUCCUGAUGCAGCCAUGCCGCGUGUAUGAAGAAGGCCUUCGGGUUGUAAAGUACUUUUGGCAGAGAAGCGGUAUCUGCAGAAUAAGCACCGGCUAACUACGUGCCAGCAGCCGCGGUAAUUC